CGUCGAUCUACUUCUUCACCAGAUUAUAAAGUCCUGCUCCUGACAAUGGUGGAUAGGAUGAUAUUUAGAUGAAAAUUGGCAAGAUUGUAGAUAAAGUUUUGUUAACAAAGUGGUGACCACUCAUGACAGAAGCUUCAUACCAUGAGUGUUGUUUUACAACAUAAUUAAGAGGAACAGUGGGAAUACAUUGUUAUUUUGAUAGAAGGUGCUGUCAUUAACUACAUUUCUCUCAUGGUGAGAACUAUACUGGCACACCAGAUGGGAUUUUAUAUGAUACAGAUGGAAAGAGAGUACAAAAAGAGAAAAAUGAAGACCUUUACUGGAUCCUUGUCUUUUAUUUUUUGUUGAAAUUUGUUAGUAAAUAUUAUUUUUUUUCUUUAUCAUAUGACUCAACACGUGUCGGGUGAAUAGAUCCACCACUUGUCGAGCACCAAAUCAACCACUAGUCUCCUAUUAUAUAUAGGAAG